rnacentral:rRNA from 1 species
GCCUAUGGCCAUGCCACCCUGAACAAGCCUAAUCCUCUCUGAUCUUGGAAGCUAAGCAGGGUCGGGCAUGGUUAGUACUUGGAUGGGAGACCACCUAGGAAGACCAGGUGCUGUAGGCG